AUUGAGAGUUUGAUUCUGGCUCAGAACGAACGCUGGCAGCGUGGAUUAGGCAUGCAAGUCGAACGGGAUCGCUUGAGUAGCAAUACGAGGGCGUGAGAGUGGCGGAAGGGCGAGUAAUGCGCGAGCAACCUGCCCCUUUGCCUGGAAUAACCCUUGGAAACGAGGGCUAAAGCCGGAUGAGGCGCUGGGGGGCAUCCCCCGGUUGUCAAACGCGGGGACCGCAAGGCCCGUGGCAGAGGGAUGGGCUCACGUGACAUCAGCUAGUUGGUGGGGUAACGGCUCACCAAGGCUUACGUCUAGCUGGUCUGAGAGGACGACCAGCCGCACUGGGACUGAGACACUGCCCAGACUCCUACGGGAGGCUGCAGUCGAGGAUCAUUCGCAAUGGGCGCAAGCCUGACGAUGCGACGCUGCGUGGAGGAUGAAGGCCCUCGGGUCGUAAACUCCUGUCAUGGGGGAAAAAGAUGCCUGCGGUAACAUCAACGGUAUCGGAUUGUACCCCAAGAGGAAGCCACGGCUAACUCUGUGCCAGCAGCCGCGGUAAUACAGAGGUGGCGAGCGUUGUUCGGAUUUACUGGGCGUAAAGGGCGCGUAGGCGGCGGCGUAUGCCGGGUGUGAAAUCCGUGGGCUCAACCCACGAAGUGCGCCCGGAACUGCGUCGCUCGAGGUCGGGAGGGGAGAGCGGAAUGCAGGGUGUAGCGGUGAAAUGCGUUGAUAUCCUGCAGAACACCGGUGGCGAAGGCGGCUCUCUGGAACGAUUCUGACGCUGAGGCGCGAAAGCUGGGGGAGCAAACAGGAUUAGAUACCCUGGUAGUCCCAGCCUUAAACGGUGCACACUUGGCGUGGCGGGAUUUCACCCCCGCCGUGCCGCAGCGAACGCGUUAAGUGUGCCGCCUGGGGAGUACGGCCGCAAGGCUAAAACUCAAAGAAAUUGACGGGGGCCCGCACAAGCGGAGGAGCAUGUGGCUUAAUUCGAUGCAACGCGAAGAACCUUACCCGGGUUUGACAUGCAGCUGCACGGCCUAUGAAAGUAGGCUUCCUUCGAGGGUGCUGCACAGGUGCUGCAUGGCUGUCGUCAGUUCGUGCCGUGAGGUGUUUGGUUAAGUCCAGUAACGAACGCAACCCCUGUGUCCUGUUGCCAGCGCGUAAUGGCGGGAACUCAGGACAGACUGCCCGUUCACACGGGAGGAAGGUGGGGAUGACGUCAAGUCAGUAUGGCCCUUACAUCCGGGGCUGCACACGUGCUACAAUGGCCGGCACAAAGGGACGCAAUACCGCGAGGUGGAGCAAACCCCCAGAACCGGCCCCAGUUCGGAUUGCGGUCUGCAACCCGACCGCAUGAAGUUGGAUUCGCUAGUAACGGCGCAUCAGCUACGGCGCCGUGAAUACGUUCCCGGGCCUUGUACACACCGCCCGUCACAUCAUGAAAGCCGUCUGCACCCGAAGCUGGAAUCUGAACCCGCAAGGGACGGAUCCGUCUAAGGUGUGGGUGGUGAUUGGGAUGAAGUCGUAACAAGGUAACCGUUGGGGAACCAGCGGUUGGAUCACCUCCUUUCUAAGGAGCA
rnacentral:rRNA from 1 species